rnacentral:rRNA from 1 species
GGCCGCGAAUUCGCCCUUAGGGUUUGAUCAUGGCUCAGGACGAACGCUGGCGGCGUGCCUAAUACAUGCAAGUCGAACGCUUCUUUUCCCACCGGAGCUUGCUCCACCGGGAAAAGAGGAGUGGCGAACGGGUGAGUAACACGUGGGUAACCUGCCCAUCAGAAGGGGAUAACACUUGGAAACAGGUGCUAAUACCGUAUAACAAUCGAAACCGCAUGGUUUCGGUUUGAAAGGCGCUUUACGGUGCCGCUGAUGGAUGGACCCGCGGUGCAUUAGCUAGUUGGUGAGGUAACGGCUCACCAAGGCCACGAUGCAUAGCCGACCUGAGAGGGUGAUCGGCCACAUUGGGACUGAGACACGGCCCAAACUCCUACGGGAGGCAGCAGUAGGGAAUCUUCGGCAAUGGACGAAAGUCUGACCGAGCAACGCCGCGUGAGUGAAGAAGGUUUUCGGAUCGUAAAACUCUGUUGUUAGAGAAGAACAAGGGUGAGAGUAACUGUUCACCCCUUGACGGUAUCUAACCAGAAAGCCACGGCUAACUACGUGCCAGCAGCCGCGGUAAUACGUAGGUGGCAAGCGUUGUCCGGAUUUAUUGGGCGUAAAGCGAGCGCAGGCGGUUUCUUAAGUCUGAUGUGAAAGCCCCCGGCUCAACCGGGGAGGGUCAUUGG